rnacentral:rRNA from 1 species
AACCUUUACAAUGCACGCAAGUGUGAUAAGGGAAUCCAGAGUGCUCAUGUACAACAUGGGCUUUUGCCAAGUGUGAAAAGCUUGGCGAAUAAGUGGUGGGUAAGACGGGUGCCAGCCGCCGCGGUAACACCUGCGCCACGAGUGGGGAUCGCGUUUAUUGGGCCUAAAGCGUCCGUAGCCGGUUUGUUAAAUUUUCUGUGAAAUCGUCCAGCUUAACUGGACGGCGUGCAGAAAAAACUGGCAAACUUGGAACCAGGAGGAGUCAGAAGUAUUCUGGGGGGAGCGGUAAAAUGCUAUAAUCCCCAGAGGACUACCUAUGGCGAAGGCAUCUGACCAGAAUGGAUUCGACGGUGAGGGACGAAAGCUAGGGGAGCGAUCCGG